UGGAUCCAGACUUGAUCAUGGCUCAGGAUGAACGCUAGCGACAGGCUUAACACAUGCAAGUCGAGGGGCAGCGGGGUGCGGCAGCAAUGCCGCACUGCCGGCGACCGGCGCACGGGUGAGUAACACGUAUGCAACCUGCCCGCCACCGGGGGAUAAUCGGGAGAAAUUCCGUCUAAUACCCCAUAACACGGCGAAGGGACAUCCCUUUGCGGUCAAAGGAGCGAUCCGGUGACGGAUGGGCAUGCGGCGCAUUAGGCAGUUGGCGAUGUAACGGACCACCAAACCGACGAUGCGUAGGGGUUCUGAGAGGAAGGUCCCCCACACUGGUACUGAGACACGGACCAGACUCCUACGGGAGGCAGCAGUGAGGAAUAUUGGUCAAUGGGCGGAAGCCUGAACCAGCCAAGUCGCGUGAGGGAAGACGGUCCUAUGGAUUGUAAACCUCUUUUGUCGGGGAGCAAGGAUCCGCACGAGUGCGGAGGCGAGAGUACCCGAAGAAAAAGCAUCGGCUAACUCCGUGCCAGCAGCCGCGGUAAUACGGAGGAUGCGAGCGUUAUCCGGAUUUAUUGGGUUUAAGGGGUGCGCAGGCGGAGGAUCAAGUCAGCGGUAAAAUAGCGGGGCUCAACCCCGUCGAGCCGUUGAAACUGGUUUUCUAGAGUGAGCGAGAAGUAUGCGGAAUGCGUGGUGUAGCGGUGAAAUGCAUAGAUAUCAUGCAGAACUCCGAUUGCGAAGGCAGCAUACCGGCGCUCAACUGACGCUCAGGCACGAAAGCGUGGGUAUCGAACAGGAUUAGAUACCCUGGUAGUCCACGCAGUAAACGAUGAAUACUAAUUGUGCGGUCCGAGUGAGGACUGUGUGAUACAGCGAAAGCGUUAAGUAUUCCACCUGGGGAGUACGCCGGCAACGGUGCAACUCAAAUGAAUUGACGGA
rnacentral:rRNA from 1 species